UACGGAGGGAGCUAGCGUUGUUCGGAAUUACUGGGCGUAAAGCGCGCGUAGGCGGCUUUGCAAGUUAGAGGUGAAAGCCCGGAGCUCAACUUCGGAAUUGCCUUUAAAACUGCAUCGCUUGAAUCCGGGAGAGGUGAGUGGAAUUCCGAGUGUAGAGGUGAAAUUCGUAGAUAUUCGGAAGAACACCAGUGGCUAAGGCGGUUCUCUAGUACGGUACUGACGCUGAGACGCGAAAGCGUGGGGAGCGAACAGG
rnacentral:rRNA from 1 species